rnacentral:rRNA from 1 species
UACGGAGGUGGCAAGCGUUGCUCGGAAUCACUGGGCGUAAAGGGCGCGUAGGCGGGGAGGUAAGUCGGGUGUGAAAUCCCUCGGCCCAACCGAGGAACUGCGCCCGAGACUGCUUCUCUUGAGUCCCGGAGAGGAAGAUGGAAUUCCCGGUGUAGCGGUGAAAUGUGUAGAGAUCGGGAGGAACACCGGUGGCGAAGGCGGUCUUCUGGACGGUGACUGACGCUGAGGAACGAAAGCCAGGGGAGCGAACGGG